UGUCGAAUGUAUAUUCUUUUUCUUGUGCAUUUAAUUGACUGAGGAGAAGUCAUCGUAUCGCAUCUUCGGCCGGAAGUACUAGGAGUUAGAAUCUAGACUGUGUUUGAUAAUACAUAUACUUUUUUAUGGUUCUUUAUAAUUUUGCUGCGGUAGAACCAAGAGGUUUAGAAUCUCGGGACUAAUACCUAUAGACUUUAAAAUUUAGAGACUAUAUGGUUGGUUAUCGAUAAGUUUUAGAAUCGUGACACUGUGGUUGUAUCAAUUGAUAGGUUUCAUAUUCUAGAAUCUAGAGACUAUGGAUUGAAUUUUGAUAGGUUUUAGAAUCAUGAGACUGUGGUUGUAUGUAUUGAUAGGUUUCAUGUUCUAGAGAUUAUGGUUUGAAUUUCGAUAGAUUUUAGAAUCAUGAGACUGUGGUUGUAUGAAUUGAUAGGUUUCAUAUUCUAGAGACUAUUUUUUGAAUUUCGAUAGGUUUUAGAAUCGAGAGACUUUGGUUGUAUGUAUUGGUAGGUUUCAUAUUCUAGAAACUAUGUUUUGAAUUUCGAUAGAUUUUAGAAUCGAGAGACUGUGGUUGUAUGUAUUGAUAGGUUUCAUAUUCUGGAGACUAUGGUUUGAAUUUCGAUAGAUUUUAGAAUCGAGAGACUGUGGUUGUAUGUAUUGAUAGGUUUCAUAUUCUGGAGACUAUGGUUUGAAUUUCGAUAGGUUUUAGAAUCGAGAGACUGUGGUUGUAUGUAUUGGUGGGUUUUUGGUUUGAAUUUCGAUAGAUUUUAGAAUCGUGAGACUGUUGUUCAAACUAUCGAUAGUUUUUAUAAUCAAGAGAGCAUAAUUGAAAAUUGUUAGACUUUAAAUACUUCGGUUGUAAUAUACGAUGUGUUCAAAACUCUCGAUCUUUUGAAAACAUAAUCUCGUCAAGUUUAAAGUGUGAUGAAUGUACCAAUAUAUUUAAGACACAAUUUAAUUGAAAGUAUGUUUAAGUGGGACUCUGAUCGGUUUUAGGUUUGCCUAAUUUCCAAAUAUUUUAGUUUUUUACAUCAGUUUAUAUAUAAAACUAAAGAUGACUCUUCGAACUCAUAUCGACUCUUAAAAAUAUAUAAACCAAUCUUUAGAAGUUUUUGUUUUCUUCAAAUUUGUGGACAGUUAAUAAAAUACUUAAAAGUGCCUAUUGUAUGAUGACUGAUUCCAUACCAUAUUUUAAAUGGUGAAUUUAGGGUGUAACGGAAGUAACGGUGGCCAAAAUUUGGUUUAUAUGUAACAACUCUUAAAGGUGGCCCAUAAGUAGUUCGUCCGCCGAAAUAAUGAAACACAAUGAAAGGACUGUCCACGAAUUCAGGGUUAAAUGGAAUACACAUUAGCAGGUAGCCGGCAAAGUUAUGUCGGUAUACAAUAUUGCACAGUUGUACAUUUGCACUAAUGACAAUUUCUAAUGUUUAUUGUAAAAAUUCGUAGUUUUAAAUGCCUAUGUAUUAUACUACUGCAGUGUUUACAAUAGUAAUAAUGAAUUUACUUCAUGUCACAAAAAUGUGAAACGUUACAAUCAAGGGCAUUUUAAAUAAUUUGCUACGGACCCCGCGCUUGCUUAAUCCGGCACUCGGUUUUUUUGGCUAAGCCGGCCAUCUGAUACUACCAUGGACUGCAGGCGAACUAUUGAUGUGUGAUCAACUUAAUAAUCUUAACACAGAGAGAGACAAAACGCAAAUAUCUGUUGUCUUGAGUAUUAGGUUUAUUGGCAAUCGUUCUUUUCUAUAUUCAAAACCUAAUUAAGAUAUUGUAAAUUAUCCUUAAACAUUAGAAGCUACUUAAAAAGAAUUUUAAUAUCAAUGAGUACGAAGACUAGGCCCAGUUUUGGGCACAACUUAUAUUGACUUAUGAUCUUUUGAUCCUAGAAUAUAGUUAAUGAGUUGUUUAGAUUAUCUAUUUCUCAUAUGUAAUUAGUAAAAUUAUGCCUGCGUAUGCUAAUAUUGAGGGUAGUCGUAAACUGUAGGUUUAUUAACAUGUAGCAGUAAACUAGCUUUAUUUAUUUAUUUGUUAUUUAUACAUAAAUAUGUACAUAAAAUAUCAUAAAUCAGACUAUUUGAUGUUAGUAGCAAUGAAGAUAUUGUGAAGAAUUAGGUUUUUUACAGUUCUUUUAAGUCCUAUCACAGGAUAUAUUUUUUUUAUAAAUAUGAAUUUUUAGGUCCAUUAUUUAGAUUGCAACGCACUUUUGACGAUACUUUUGGACUUUGAAUUCAAAUCACACUUGACAGAUUUUUACCUUAUAAAAUUUUACUUAGUUGAAACUUAAUAAACGUGUUUUUAUGUAUAUAUGAUAUCAACAAGUAGCCGGCAUCAUUUAAUGUGGCCGUUUAUCCAUUAUGCAUAGUAACGAUGCAUAAAUUAUGUACUACAUUUUAAAUGGCCAUAACUAUGCAUAUUGUCAUUAUAAAUGCAUUUGUGUUUUAUCACCCGCUUAGAUCUGGUCUGUCAAUGCCAAUGGUCUUAUUGCAACGACCGGUUUGUCCGCAAUCCGCAACUUUUUUACCCAAUGAUAACUUGCAACCUACUUAUGAGAUAGAAUCGAAAACAAUAAAAAAAUAUAUAUGUGACCAUUUAACCUCCAGGGUUAACUACUCCUCGCAGCCUUGUAAUUCUGCUAGUUGGUGGGUCAUUCCUACACCUACACUCCAGUAUUACAUUUGUGACCGUUGCCUGUUUUAUAAGACAGAAUCUCCACUUAGGACACUCUUUCACGUCGAUUGUGAAAAGAUGUUUAUUCAGUGUUAUUUCGCCUAUUCGUGUGCGUUUAGUUCUUAAGUCGUGAUCGCUGUGAUGCCAAUUUUGGCACUUUGCACUUCUUACUCAUGUGAAAUGCAUUAUAUCAUUUCACAUAACUUACCGCACAAGCAAUAUUUUUAUUUGUAAUAGCGAUUCGUGUCAGUAAUCAGUAAUAAAAUAAAUUCAAAUUUAAUGAAUUAGAAAUAGUUAUGCCAGUGCAAGCCCACUAAUCACUUGCACUUUCGUCGGGAUCUUAUUAUCAUUAUGAAAUAUCCAGUAUUCACUUGCAUAAAUAUGGUCUUUGAAAUUUUCGUAGGGAUCUUAUUAUCAUUAUAAAAGACCCAGUAAUCACUUGCAUAAAUAUGGUCUUUGAAAUUUUCGUAGGGAUCUUAUUAUCAUUAUAAAAGACCCAGUAAUCACUUGCAUAAAUAUGGUCUUUGCAAUUUUCGUAGGGAUCUUAUUAUCAUUAUAAAAGACCCAGUAAUCACUUGCAUAAAUAUGGUCUUUGCAAUUUUCGUAGGGGUCUUAUUAUCAUUAUAAAAGACCCAGUAAUCACUUGCAUAAAUAUGGUCUUUGCAAUUUUCGUAGGGAUCUUAUUAUCAUUAUAAAAGACCCAGUAAUCACUUGCAUAAAUAUGGUCUUUGCAAUUUUCGUAGGGAUCUUAUUAUCAUUAUGAAAUACCCAGUAAUCACUUGCAUAAAUAUGGUCUUUGCAAUUUCGUGGGGAUAUUAUUAUCAUUAUAAAAGACCCAGUAAUCACUUGCAUAAAUAUGGUCUUUGCAAUUUUCGUAGGGAUCUUAUUAUCAUUAUAAAAGACCCAGUAAUCACUUGCAUAAAUAUGGUCUUUGCAAUUUCGUGGGGAUAUUAUUAUCAUUAUAAAAGACCCAGUAAUCACUUGCAUAAAUAUGGUCUUUGCAAUUUUCGUAGGGAUCUUAUUAUCAUUAUAAAAGACCCAGUAAUCACUUGCAUAAAUAUGGUCUUUGCAAUUUUCGUAGGGAUCUUAUUAUCAUUAUAAAAGACCCAGUAAUCACUUGCAUAAAUAUGGUCUUUGCAAUUUUCGUAGGGGUCUUAUUAUCAUUAUAAAAGACCCAGUAAUCACUUGCAUAAAUAUGGUCUUUGCAAUUUUCGUAGGGAUCUUAUUAUCAUUAUAAAAGACCCAGUAAUCACUUGCAUAAAUAUGGUCUUUGCAAUUUUCGUAGGGAUCUUAUUAUCAUUAUGAAAUACCCAGUAAUCACUUGCAUAAAUAUGGUCUUUGCAAUUUCGUGGGGAUAUUAUUAUCAUUAUAAAAGACCCAGUAAUCACUUGCAUAAAUAUGGUCUUUGCAAUUUUCGUAGGGAUCUUAUUAUCAUUAUAAAAGACCCAGUAAUCACUUGCAUAAAUAUGGUCUUUGCAAUUUCGUGGGGAUAUUAUUAUCAUUAUAAAAGACCCAGUAAUCACUUGCAUAAAUAUGGUCUUUGCAAUUUUCGUAGGGAUCUUAUUAUUAUUAUAAAAGACCCAGUAAUCACUUGCAUAAAUAUGUUCAUUCCAAUUUUCGCAGGGAUCUUAAUAUUAUAAUAUAAAUCCAGUAAUCACUUGCAUAAAUAUGUUCAUUGCAAUUUUCGCAGGGAUCUUAAUAUUAUAAUAUAAAUCCAGUAAUCACUUGCAUAGAUAUGGUCAUUUCAAUGUUCGUAGGGAUCCUAUUAUAAUAAAAAACAGACCAUUUAACUUGAUAAAGCUGCUUUCUAUUGUUGAAAUAAUUUAAUAACCGAUUUAUAAGUAGAUAAUUUAUUAUUAGAUGUGUUUGAGUUUAAAAAUAUAAAUUCAGAUACUCUCUCGUUCAAUAUCAUUAUAUUCUAAUAUCUCAUUUGUUAAUUAAAUAGAAUAAUAUAUAUUAUAUUUAAAUUACAUAAUCAUGUUCCUUAUAGAGUAGUAUAUUAGUAUAACUUUUACGUGCAGUAUAUGUUAUAAUAUCGGUCAAUUAUCAUAAUGGUGUACUAAGUUGGUAGAAUUCGCAAAAUUAAUCGUGUUCGUAAACAAUUCUAAUAGUUUAAAUGAACCUUGAGCUCUGUCAUUUAAUGCGCAAUAGUAAACUUAAGGUUUAGCUGAUGGAGUGCCGCGGGGAUUACAAUUAUCGAUCACCGGCAUUCGCACAAUGCAAUAGUGAUAAUAAUAAAAAAUAAAUUUAUUCUAUAAUAUUGCAUUUAUAAGAUUUAUUGUAGAAUAAAUUUUAUAAAUCCAAUGAGAUAAAAACAUAUUGAUUUUAAAAUAUUUUAAUCUGGAUAACAGCGCCACCUAUCGGUAGUUUCACCUAAUACCCAGUGAUUUCAACCGUUAUUAAACUGAAUAUUUCAUUAUAGUCGCUCCGGCCGCUUAGAAGUAGAAUAAUAAAUAAUUUCUUAAUGAAAUUACAGCCCUAUAAAGGUUCUUUGUGAGCUAGAAAGAGUAAUAAUUUCGAUGUGAGCCAUAAGGCCAACCAAAAUGAAUAAUAAAUAUUUUAUAAGACUGUAUAGUUGCCUAAUAGGGAUUAGUAUCUCAACUCUAAGAAAUUGUUUUGCCUUUAUUUAUUAAGAAUUUUGUAAUCAAUGUAAAUAUUGUUGAUAAGAGCGGAUAGUCCGUUUUUAAAAAGUAACUCAAAUCACUUUCAAUAAAUAUAAUCACCGUAAAUUAACUCUAACUUUGUAUCGUCCUUGACGAAUUUACAAACUACCACUUGAUAUGUAGGCACAUAUACAAAACUAUUUGUAAGGACUAUAAAAAAAAAAACGUCGUUUUCUUCCUCUAAAUUCAAAUAAUGGAGUCAUGUACACUUAAAUACAAAUCUGAAUUUUUGGCUUAUAAUUUUUUACUAAAUAUUUGAAAUAUCACAUAAACCGAAGCUUGAUAAACAACGCCGCUUUGGGUACAUUCGCUGCCACAAUACCGAGAGUAAUAUAAUUAAUUUUACUCGGUAUUGCUGCAGCGAUUGCUUGCCGCGAAGCAAUUCUGUUUAAUUUGAAUGUAUAGCUCUUAAGUUGAUGCAAUUUUGUUUCGCAUUUUACUUAAUUCUAGGACAGUGAUUUGAAAGCCAGUAAAUAUUUUCUUUAGACUGUCACAUUGGUAUCUAUUGUACAAUUAAUUAUUAAGUACUACUUAAUAGGAUUACUAUAACUAAUAUAUAUAAAGAAAAUGCCAUGAAUUAAUAACUAGUUAUAAAAUAUGAGUUUAUUACUUCUUCUGUUGAUAUUUUCUGUAAGAUUAUAUCUUUAUUAUAUCUUUAUCAUGUUUGGGAUAUAUUUUAAAGAGUUUAGGUAAAGAGUACCAUUAAUAUGUGUCUAUGAAAGGUUUGUUGUGAGCGGAAGUACUCUCUAUCCACCCCGUAGGGAGAAGUGACAUCAUAGAUUCGGUACAGUCUACAAUAAAAAAAAAUACCGACGAAUUAACUCACCUCUCUCUAGAAGAAUUUUCCUUCUCCUUUUUUGAAGUCGGUUAAAAACAGAUUAAUAUAUGAAUUAAUUACAAAGGACCUUGCGCCUCUUCUUCUCUCUCAGAGCGCCAUUUGUUUCCGAAGCGGUUGUAGUAUCUAGUAUAUUGCAAAAUGACAUCAAAAAGAAUUCUAAUUUUUAUUGAAUAAAUAAACUUUACUAACUUCUAUAAUAAAUUUAAAACGUACGGUAGUUAGCACUUGUGUUGGUGACUGUACUAAAGGAUGUGUGCGAGUCGAGUUGCAACGUGUUUGAUUGUGAUCUACAUAUUAUAUUUCCGACGGAUUAUAUUUGGCUUAUUUCUCGGAUUAGGUAGUGUACUUUAUUUAAUUUGACAUUUACGGUUAAUUGCGCAAUGGAAAUAGUACAGUAAAUGUCACAGUAUUCAGUUUAAUGAAAUCCUUAGUGAAAAUAGACAAAAUGUCGUGUUAAAAUGUGUUUUUGUGUGUAUGAAGUCUUUGCUCAAUCCUUUUUUCUCAGGCCUAUAAUUAAUGGGCGUGGGCUAAGAGUGCAGUCCCAUUUUUGAAUACUUCUUAGUUGUUAGUUCAUGUCGUCCCAGAUGUUGGCUCGUUGAACUGUAGUCGAAGGUCAUAUUGUUAUCCCAGUUCCACGCAUAGAUAUAUACUUCUUGUGACAUUGGUUAACUGUUUUAGAAAUUACAUUUGGUUGUAUGUAGUACUCAUAUAUAUUUAAAUUGUUUACUUAAUACUAAUAAAUCGAUACAACUUAGGUUGUUGAUGAGUAAGGGCUGUUUCACAAUGUCCAAAUUUCAUGUAAGCUCGUUUCUGUACGGGUGCCUAAAAGCGUAAAAUAAAAAUAAAAACUAAUGUUGAUCCGUCGGAACUUAUUCCGCCUACUGACUGAUUCUCUGCGUUGGCGAUCUGUUGCGUUCUCAUUAUGUUCCGAUGCCAGUUUCGGAAUCUUUCCUUUCUGUCAUCAUAUUAUCGUUGAUUUGGAGCUUAGCAAGCGGGAGUUAUCGAUAACUGUACUAUAAAUUAAAAUAUCUGUUGUCACUAAUAUUAUGUCCUCAUUUCAGUUUCCUAUCCAACUCAAGGAAUAUUAAUUGUUUUAUCGUGUGUUUAACAUAAAUCUUCUUUUUCAGCAUUAUAUUUAAGUUUUAUCUGUGAUAGUAGAUAGCGUUUAUUUAAAUAAAUAAUUGAUCGUACAAA